CCUACGGGGUGCAGCAGUGGGGAAUAUUGCGCAAUGGGCGAAAGCCUGACGCAGCGACGCCGCGUGAGGGAUGAAGGUCUUCGGAUCGUAAACCUCUGUCAGCAGGGAAGAACGGUCACUGUGCUAAUCAGCAGUGACUUGACGGUACCUGCAAAGGAAGCACCGGCUAACUCCGUGCCAGCAGCCGCGGUAAUACGGAGGGUGCGAGCGUUAAUCGGAAUUACUGGGCGUAAAGCGCUCGUAGGCGGUAUGUCAAGUCAAGGGUGAAAUCCCCGCGCUCAACGUGGGAACUGCCUUUGAAACUGGCAAACUGGAGUGUGUGAGAGGAUAGUGGAAUUCCAGGUGUAGGAGUGAAAUCCGUAGAUAUCUGGAGGAACAUCAGUGGCGAAGGCGACUAUCUGGCACAUAACUGACGCUGAGGAGCGAAAGCGUGGGUAGCAAACAGGAUUAGAUACCCUGGUAGUC
rnacentral:rRNA from 1 species